GGCGGUGUAGCUCAGCUGGCUAGAGCGUACGGUUCAUACCCGUGAGGUCGGGAGUUCGAUUCUCCCUGCCGCCA
rnacentral:tRNA from 1 species